UCUCGUGUACCACUUUUUAUUUUUUAUUGAAACAAAGCUAGCUCCUUCAUUGAGUAUAAAUUCUACCUCUUUUGCACUCUUGUAGCACACAAAGCAAUUUUCUAAAAUCUCAUCAAUAUACUUUUUAUAGAAGAAUGGCUUCUUUUCAAAAGCAGUUAGCUGUUUUCAUGCUCCUUUGCUGGGUCGCCACAAUUGCCAAAUAUUCAGGAUCACCAAACAUGAUGGUUAUGGCUGUACGUGACUUGCCUUUGGAUGUGGCUAUCAUGGAACAAGUUCUUUUUCCAGGACUCACUUGCCGGAGAUCAUGUAAAACAAACAAUGAUUGCUCAGAUGGUAUUAUUUGCGCGACAUGCCGUUAUUUUCCAAAACAGAAAGUCCGUAUUUGUGUUGCUUCUUAAUUACGUAUUUUCGCGUAAUUAAGGUAUUAAUAAUGAUGUGUUAUGUGUCGUUUAAUAAUAAAUAAGGUGAUUUGCAAUUGCUUCGGCUCUGUAUGUUGCAAAUUGUCAACAAAUGUUUGUAUUGUAAACAUGUCUUGAUGUAUCGUAUGUUAUUGUGUCGUCUUUAUUUUAAGUAUUAAUGAAUGGACUAUGGUGUGAUAAUAAGAAGUGUAUUAUGUAUACGAGGAAGUAUUAGUCGAAAAGUUUUUAUUA